AUGGAGCAGAGUGGCAAGAGUGGCAGCGCUUGGACUCUUGCCCUGGAGCUUCUGACGUAGCUCCUGGUCCAGCAGCUGAGAGCACCUCCAGGUCUGACCCGGAGGAGGCUGCUGCCAGCUGACUCGCAUCUACGACUGCUGCAGCUUCACUAUGCGUUGCUGCCAAAGCUUCGGCUGCUACGUCAUCCACCCAUGUCUCCGCAUCGGGCGGCGUGUCAUCCAGAGGAGCAGCUUCAGCAGCAGUGGUGGCCUCCUCAGCAGGAGCAGCAUCUUCAGGUGGGGUAUCAGAAGAGGCGGCGGCUUCCUCCCGGACAGCUGCAGAGUCUGCAGUCUGGUCUUCAGACUGGACCUCCUCCUCCUUCUCCCCCUCCUCCUCCUCCACAGCCAGGACUGAAGUUGUAGCUUCCUCAGACAGAGACGCAGCCACCUCCUCCUCCAGCGCUGCCUCUACACUGGCAGCUGUCCCUUCUUCAACCAGCUGUUCAGCAUCUGCAGGCUUCGACUCCUCCUCGUUCACCAUGGUCACCUCUUGAGCUUCUUUGGCUACCUCCUCUGUGGUCGCUUCCACAGCUUCUGGUUCGACCACCUUCAGUGGAAAGUCCAAACCUUCCACCAGACUGUUCUCAACAGAAGCUGCCGCUAUCUCAAUCGGAGGGCCAGCCAAGACUUUCACUGCUGUGAGCAGAUCAGCACAACUAAGUGAGGCCUACUUCCUG
ensembl:lncRNA